GGGUGAGUAACACGUGAGUAACCUGCCCUUGACUUCGGGAUAAGCCUGGGAAACUGGGUCUAAUACCGGAUAGGAGCCAUUUUUAGUGUGAUGGUUGGAAAGUUUUUCGGUGUAGGAUGAGCUCGCGGCCUAUCAGCUUGUUGGUGGGGUAAUGGCCUACCAAGGCGGCGACGGGUAGCCGGCCUGAGAGGGUGGACGGCCACAUUGGGACUGAGAUACGGCCCAG
rnacentral:rRNA from 1 species